rnacentral:rRNA from 1 species
UAGUCAUAUGCUUGUCUCAAAGAUUAAGCCAUGCAUGUCUAAGUAUAAGCAAUUAUACAGCGAAACUGCGAAUGGCUCAUUAAAUCAGUUAUCGUUUAUUUGAUAGUACCUUACUACAUGGAUAACCGUGGUAAUUCUAGAGCUAAUACAUGCUAAAAAUCCCGACUUCGGAAGGGAUGUAUUUAUUAGAUUAAAAACCAAUGCCCUUCGGGGCUCUCUGGUGAUUCAUGAUAACUUCUCGAAUCGCACGGCCUUGCGCCGGCGAUGGUUCAUUCAAA